GACAACCUUUUGGGUAAAAGGUCACAUAACCCCAAACCGGAACUCCUGUUUUUAGGGUUACAUGCAGUCAGUUUGAUACUUAGCACACAUUGUUGAGUGCAUGCUGCCUAGGAUUUGUAAAAUACAUUGCAAAUGGUUGGUUUUGGUAUCAACAUGAAGGUAUAUUUGUAAGCAAUAAGAAAAUAAGCCAUUUUUGUGCUCUACUUUUUGUGUUGAUGGUUCCCGGCUUUGAAAGUAGGUCAUACUAUUUGAGCCCAAAAUGGUUGUCUGCACAGCUGUCAAAACCGGUUUGCCUUUUCUAAGGUAAUUAUUUUGAGUUUGCGCGUAUAGAAUUUAAUGACAUGCAUUUUUUUCAAAAGAUUAUGCAUUAAUCUUUCCAAUGAUGUAUGAUGAUAUAGUGGGUAUGCGCUUGAUCAUGGUAAAAAUUGAUAUCGAACUUCAACUAUUUUAUAUGUAAUAUAGAAGGAAAUUAAUUGCGCAUGCGUAACCUUUAAGCACAUCCGACCAAGUUAGUCGUCUGCCAGAAUUUUGACAUUUGAACAUCAAAAACUCUCUGUAUUGCAAAACAUAACUGCCAGAUGUCAUUUUGACCCAAAUUAGGGCUGUUUGCAAUUGGGCUGUUGCACUUAGGGUCAUAAGGGGGGUAAAUGCUGGAAAAUCACACCGAAACCUGUUCCGGAGACAUAUUCUAAGACUAGUUAAACACCCGGCGGUGUCGAAAUGGGUCUAUAGCUCUGCCUGAACUGUCGUCCAAUUGGUUUACAAGUCCGGCUGAAGUGACCGGCCAUCAAAAACUGUACAGCGUGACUGAUUCGGAGACGGCCCUCAACACUCGCACAGUCGUGUCGAGAGGAUCGGUGUCUUUGCAGAUUACACGGAAUUGAGCACCCGGGCCAGACUGACACUUUCCGGAGCCUGCCCGAGACGGAACUCGAGCCGAGGAAUCAUAGGUCCAGGUGUGACAAAAGACUUAAAGCUCAUGUCUGACGAUGACUUUUUUUAGUCAUGAAGUCAAGUGUGUUGUUUUUCCAUGCAAGUGAGCCCUUUUGUUGGGUCAAAUGACAUCAGAAUUGCUGCUUCUACAUGGAUUUUACCUAAAAUGUGCAAAAAAAAAAUAAAAAAAAGUUUGUUCGAAUCAUGUUCAAAACCUGCUUUGAUGCACAAAUAUUGCCAUUGAUGAUUUUUUUCACUUAUUAAGCCAUAUGUAAGAUCAGCUUUGCCUAUUAGAACCGAAAGACAUGCCUUGUAUGGAGUCUAAGUGCUGCAUGUAUGAUGUAACCAAGUUUGGCUUUUCUACCUUAAUUCUUGACGCGAAACGCUGUUACGCAUGGCGCUUUCAACGGCAACUUUUAUGAAUAAAUCUGUGUGUCAUUGUACCGGAACUUUGUGAUCUUUCUCAAAACAGAUUAUACCUAUUGGAAAAGUGCCUUUAAUUUAAAUUUGAAGGGGUUGGGUUCUCUUAAAGGUCACAUAACCCCAAACCGGAACUCCUGUUUUUAGGGUUACAUGCAGUCAGUUUGAUACUUAGCACACAUUGUUGAGUGCAUGCUGCCUAGGAUUUGUAAAAUACAUUGCAAAUGGUUGGUUUUGGUAUCAACAUGAAGGUAUAUUUGUAAGCAAUAAGAAAAUAAGCCAUUUUUGUGCUCUACUUUUUGUGUUGAUGGUUCCCGGCUUUGAAAGUAGGUCAUACUAUUUGAGCCCAAAAUGGUUGUCUGCACAGCUGUCAAAACCGGUUUGCCUUUUCUAAGGUAAUUAUUUUGAGUUUGCGCGUAUAGAAUUUAAUGACAUGCAUUUUUUUCAAAAGAUUAUGCAUUAAUCUUUCCAAUGAUGUAUGAUGAUAUAGUGGGUAUGCGCUUGAUCAUGGUAAAAAUUGAUAUCGAACUUCAACUAUUUUAUAUGUAAUAUAGAAGGAAAUUAAUUGCGCAUGCGUAACCUUUGGGUAGUAAAGUAGUAAUACAAGGCAAUAUGGCGACCGUUAGCCACGAGGCCUAUCUUACGGAGGAAUCCGAGAUAGCCGAUGUAUCACGAUUGAUAACCAUCUGAUGUCCCACUGUUUACAUUCUAUUUAUAGAACAGGUUUUUCCAUUAUUGACCUAACUAUAUAAUAAUGCCGAGAGUAGCCUUUACAGGAUAACCAGGUCGAACCUCAAAGACCUCGUGAAGAGGCCGAUAGGACCUGUAAAUAAACUCUGAUUUAAAAAACAAAACUUUACAGGAUAAAGCAUAUAUGUAACUGGCUGUGAUCAACUCUCGUAAGGAUGAGGUUGAUGUUAUCUUGUGUAAUCUGCCUUAUAGCUACCAUUAUGCCACUAUGAUUAACACAACUGUUAUUAAUACAUACUGUAAAUGCUCAUGUCAAUAAGACAUGCUUUGUGAUUGUAUAACUCAACCAUAGUGUACAUACAUGUCUUACUAUAAGAUAAGAAGCAAUCCAAUAGUUGUUGUCUUUUUCAAAUACUUUUGUCCAAGUGUUUAUCUUUAAUUGUAUGAGUAUUACUAUUAUACAAUGAUAUACAGUAACUGUUGUCUUUUUCAAAUACUUUUGUUCAACUGUUUAUCUUUAAUUGUAUGAGUACUACUAUAUUAUACAAUGAUAUACAGUAGUGGUUGUCUUUUCCAAAUACUUUUGUUCAUCUGUUUAUCUUUAAUUGUAUGAGUAUAACUGUUUUACGAUGAUAUACAAUAGUUGUUAUCUUUAAUUGUAUGAGUAUAACUGUUAUACGUGGAAAUACAAUAGUUGUUAUCUUGUUCAAAUACUUUGUCCAACUGUUUAUCUUUAAUUGUAUGAAUAUUACUAUUACACAAUGAUAUACACUAUGAAUCUUAUCCCUACAAACCAUCUAUGGUUUUGUUUUCGCAUAGGUGGUCGCAUAUGGGUUUAUUCAUUCAUUGGUGAACAUAAAAAUAUUUGUCUCUUAAUAAUAUUGUACUAUAUAUGUGUGUAUAGAUAGAUAUAUAUAUAAUAUAUUUCCCCAUAGAUCACCUAUUCAAAUAAAUAGGUGAUCCUUUUUUUGGGGUAAAUUUAAUACUAAAUAAAUACCAAUAGCCCUAUUUUAUAACUUUCAUGACUAUAAUAUGUACUCAUGACUAAUCAAAGCAAAUCUUUAAACAAGAUUAUUUUAUACAAUUGUUAUUGUAAUUGCUAAAUAAUCUUGACAAAUGUGAAUCCUUUAAAUGUGCUAUAUACAGAAUCUUGUUGAGCUGAUAAAUUUGUGACACAAAAUUCAUAUUAAUUUAUUGAACUGCUUCAGUAAUAUUACAGAAAUAUAAUAUAUAUGGUUAAUCUGUCAUAAGAUACACUAUGUAAUCAAUUUCUAACAUCUUGAGUGGAUGAUCUUAAACUUUUACUUUCAAGAAAAGGCUGCACACAAUAAAAAAGCUGCAGUUUUUAACUGCCUAUGAACUAAGAGAUGCCUUGUAAACAGCUUUUUUUCUUCUAAACUGACAGGUACCUUGAUACAAUUUGUAUACUUAAAAUACAUAAAAACAUGUACUAUCUGAAAUACAAGGUCAUAAUCACAUAGUGUAAUUAGCUAUUCUUUUUCAGUUAUGUAACUAAGAACUUGUACAGGUAUGGACAUUUUUUAUUUUGUAUGUGUCUUUUUUCCCUCAAUCUGUAGGUAGUAAUAUUGAGAGGUAAAAUAUAUAUUUGCACUGACUUUUUCAAACUCUACCCAGAUACUGUGUUAUGCUCCUCGUAUGCUGAGUGACACACCUAUUUAUUAUACACAAGCAGUAUGCAUAAGCUCAUUAGCUUGCUGGUGUUUUCAUUUUGUUUGCACUUUGUGCUGUAUGCCUGUUUGAUUGUUUGAACAAAGAUAUAAUGUAUUGUAUGCAUUGCUGUAUGUGUUUAUGUAUUUCCAGAAAAAUCAAUGUGCUAUUUGUUAUCAUAUUUUAAAGGCAUGGGAUCUGAAUUUAGUAUUAUUAAGCUUAACUAUACAAAAUGACUAGUGUUCUGAAAAUUGUCUCUUUAAAUCAUAACUUUAUGGUACCUUGAUAUUAAGUGUUAUACUAAUAAUACAGAACAAUAUACUAUCUGAGAUACAAUGCCAUAGACACAUAGUGUAGUUAGUUAGUUCCUUUUUAACGAGGCAACUAAGAACUUUUACAGAUAUGGAAAAUUAUUGUUUGUGUGUUUGAUUUUUUUCCCUCAAUCUCUGGAUUGUCAUACUGAGAGGUUAAAUAUAACUUACACCGGCUUUGUGUUCUCAAACUCUACCCAGAUAUUGUGCUAUGCUCUUUGCAUACUAAAUGACAUACUUAUUAACAACUUAUUGAUUACAUACAGGAGUAUCAUUUAUAAGCAUAUUGGCUUGUGCUUAUUAUUUACAUGUUAUGUUGUAUGAUUAUAUACAUGUGUUUUAUGCAUAACCUUAUUGGCUUGUGCUUCUCUCCAAAUGGUAUGUUGUACAGUUAUAUACAUGAGUAUUAUUUAUAAGCUCAUUGACUAGUGCUUUUUUGUUCACAUGUUAUGCUGUAUAGUUAUAUACAUGAGAAUCAUUCAUAAGCUCAUAAGCUCAUUGGCUUGUGUUUUUUGGU